AUGGCAGGUGAGACCCUUCAGGAAUUUUUGAAGGGAACCUUCGGUAUCCUGGAUGAAGAAGAUGAGAUGAGCAUUAGGUGGAGGGGCCAGUGUUCUUCUGUCACAGCUGCAGAGGGGGAAGGGGAAGGAGAUGGGGGUCAGAGAAAAAUCACUGGCAGGUUUUUGUGCGGGUCUGCUUCACAGUGUUAUGUGUUCGGUGCUGGGACCAAGCUGACCGUCACAGGUCAGCCCAAGGCAUCCCCCAUGGUCAUGGCCUAUGGUCCAUCCCAAGAUGAGCUGAUAACCCCCACAGCCACACUCACGUGCCUCAUCAGUGGCUUCUACCCAGAGUCCCUGGAUGUGGCCUGGACCAAGAAUGGCUCCCCUGUGUCCAGUGGGGUGCACACCAGCAGGCCAGUCCGCCAGACUGACAACAAGUACUCAGCCAGCAGUUACCUCUCAGUCAACCCCAAUCAAUGGAGGGGAAAUGCCGUAUAUAUCUGCAAGGUGACCCAUGAGGGCCAGGUCAUACAGAAGGAGCUGUCUGCCAGCCAGUGCACAUAGAGGCCCUCGCCCUCCAGGACCCCUCACUCCAUCCCCACACAUGGGCAGCCCCAGCUCAUCAAACACUCUCCCAUGCUUCUAAUAAACUCUUUUCCUUUCUCAUUCAA